GACGAACCGUGCGAACGUUGUUCGGAUUCACUGGGCUUAAAGGGCGCGUAGGCGGUUUGGACAGUCAGAUGUGAAAUUCCUGGGCUCAACCUGGGGGCUGCAUUUGAUACGUUCGGACUAGAGUGGGGAAGAGGGUCGUGGAAUUCCCAGUGUAGAGGUGAAAUUCGUAGAUAUUGGGAAGAACACCGGUGGCGAAGGCGGCGACCUGGUCCUUGACUGACGCUGAGGCGCGAAAGCGUGGGGAGCAAACAGG
rnacentral:rRNA from 1 species